GAUGAACGCUGGCGGCGUGCCUAAUACAUGCAAGUCGAGCGAACGGACGAGAAGCUUGCUUUUCUGAUGUUAGCGGCGGACGGGUGAGUAACACGUGGAUAACCUACCUAUAAGACUGGGAUAACUUCGGGAAACCGGAGCUAAUACCGGAUAAUAUUUUGAACCGCAUGGUUCAAAAGUGAAAGACGGUCUUGCUGUCACUUAUAGAUGGAUCCGCGCUGCAUUAGCUAGUUGGUAAGGUAACGGCUUACCAAGGCAACGAUGCCUAGCCGACCUGAGAGGGUGAUCGGCCACACUGGAACUGAGACAUGGUCCAGACUCCUACGGGAGGCAGCAGUAGGGAAUCUUCCGCAAUGGGCGAAAGCCUGACGGAGCAACGCCGCGUGAGUGAUGAAGGUCUUCGGAUCGUAAAACUCUGUUAUUAGGGAAGAACAUAUGUGUAAGUAACUGUGCACAUCUUGACGGUACCUAAUCAGAAAGCCACGGCUAACUACGUG
rnacentral:rRNA from 1 species